AACAAUAUUUAAAUUGUUGUGCCUGAUCGACAGCCACAAUUGUGAUUAUACCGAGAUUUGCAUGUUCUAACAUAUGGAAAUACAAUGGUAGGAGUUGGAAUGACUCCUCAAGAGGAUUGAAAACAAGACUCUUUGCAUACUUCUUCACUUGGCAAGCUUUACCAUACAAGCAUUGCAAUCCUCACUUGCGAUCCAUCUCUUCCAUUAUUUCCUUAGGUCUCAAUAGUGUUACAUUAUUUCCUUAUAGCCUGGGGGACAUAAGCUCACCAAUUAACCUCGUGCUCACUAUUCGGUACCUACCUUACAAACCAUUAAUAGUACACGUGUGUAACUUGUGGAACAUGCGAACUUGCCAAUAAUCUCUGUCAAGUAACUUUGUUGCAUGCAUAACGAACUUGCAUGCCUUGUCCUUACAAGCAACCUCAAAACGAGUGUGAUAUGACUUUUUCACUCUAAUCUCGAAAUGCUCUUUUAGUGCCAACAUGUUCAAAGCUUGUUUUAAUUUGACCUUGGAGGGAAACACUUUUCCUAGGUAUAAACGGUCAUCGCUUGAUUUGGACUCCUCGUUGGCAAUUGUUUGGAAGGAGAUCAUAUCUGCUUCUGGAAUAAUUCAUUGAAGAGAUGCCCUUACAUUUACCCUUUCCCUAAUCACUGUCAUCGGGUGAACAAAUCCUGUUGUCAUGAUGAUAGGGUUGUUGUAAAUAUGGUCAUCGCACUUAACAUUUUCUAAGACAACAGUUGUGGCAUGUUCUGUUUUGCCAAUUGCAUGAUUACAAUUCGACUGUCAUUAUCGUCACCCCUAUCCUCCUCUGAACAGUCAUCAUUCUCGCCAACAUAAUUUUCAUCAUUCCAUUCAGUAGUGUCAUCCUCUACAUAGUCAUCGCGCAUUUGAUCAUAUGCAUCAUCAUCAUUUAUUAUCAUUGUAAUGUUGUUUGAGAAUAACGAUAGACCCACUGCAGUUUUGAAUGACGAUUGCAUUUGUUGGCAAGAACGAAGUAUUUCGUUCGAUACACAUUCUGAUUUGAAUUGUGCAGACAGCAUAUCGGGUUGCUCAAACUCAUGUGCAUAUGUCUAUGGCGAUUGCCAUUGUUGUUAGUUAGGGAUUGCAUGAUGUGGUAUGUUUGAAGCAGUAUAAUUCUGAUUUAGGUGAUUACUAUGUUGGACAGUUUGUUCAUGUGGCAUAACAUUUGUAUGUUGUUCUUUAGCGGUGACAAACAUUACAACUCCCCUCUCAUCUUGUAGAAUACUUGCUAAAUCUUCAUUGUCCCUGAUAAUUGGCUAUGAAACCCUAGCGACAUGACUGGGCAAUGCAUGUAGCUCGAUUUCAUGAUUUUGUGAGUUUACCCCCACAACAUUUUCAACCAACUUCAUUAGGCUCGAAAAUGACAAAUCACUCCCAACACCCCUCACUCGUGUCUCACCACCCUUGUAAGUAUCAUUGAUCCAAUGACCGCCGUAUGUAAUCAUAAGCUUUAUAUUU
rnacentral:lncRNA from 1 species